ensembl:lncRNA
AAGAUGACCGGCGACGUUGUUUGUAGCUCUUCCUGGCUGCGCCCUCCUGUCCUUUCCCACUGCUGCUCAUCCCAUGCACGCAGCUUUCACCUGCCGCCUCCUGGUGCAGCUGCCUCGUUCCUUUGAACUAGGUCCUUACCCUCUUCUUCUGCCCUCGCUCGAUGUGGAAGGACAGUUAACCCCCCUCCAGGUGCUUUUGGCUGUUUAAACACUGAUUCUAGGCCCUCUCCCUCUUUUACAGCUGUCACUUUUUCGGAGGGUGGGGAGAAUGUUAGUACCGUUCUUAUUAACUAGGAUUGUUAUAUCUGAGCACUUAUAGUAUGGUAGGUUGAAUGAAAACUGCUGUUUUUGUAGGUCAGAAGGGGCUAGUGAUGACAAUUUCAUAGAUAAAUACCAGGCAUCUUGCUAGACCCCGGCAGCUCUCAGAAUUUUGUCAUCCCGUGUCCUUGUGUAAACUGUAGCUUUUCCCUCUUUUAACUCUAUUCCACAUUGAACGGACAAAACGCAAAAACAUAUAUUGAGUGAUCAUGCCUCUUGCUCUUAUCUCUGUAAUUUGUACAAGCCCACAUUCUUAGCCUUCUCUUCCUUGGCUGUUUGGGCUCAGAAACACACUGCUGCCUGUGUUCACGCCCAGUAAGCCCUCCUCAGUCUCACUUUAGGACCCCAGGGACUGGGGUUUGUUAGAUUCUUGCUUUAACAUCAAGGCCCAGAUCCCAUCACAAAGUUUUCCUCUUCCUUGCCCUCCACACUGAGGCCUUCCUCACAGCCUUUGACACAUCUGUGUGCAUAAUGGAGUGGACUGGGGCGCUCAUGACAGAAGCGCUUCCUUGGCCUGACUCUGUAUGUAGCUAACUCUGGGUGCUGGUUAGUCCAGACAUUCGCACUGGGCAGUAUUGCACCCCAGGUGGCCUCUCGAUUUAAUCAGAUACUCUCCCUCUUAACAUCUGUAGGUGACUAUUAUUUAGUCAUUUUACUUUAUAGUAAUUUCACCAAGCUACGUGAGAAACUCCUUGCCUCUUCAAUUCCAUUGUUGGCACCUCUUGCAAAAGGAAAACACCAUCAACAAAAGGCAAGAACAGUAACUGAGAACAUGAACUCCAGGAUAGGUGGGUUUAUGUUGUUACAUCUAAAAUGUAAAUGUAUGGUUCCAAGAAUUCGUGGUAAUAUUUAUACUUUACCCUAAUCAUUUACAUAAAUGCAAACAAAAGUUAGUGAACUUUAAAUUUCACAGCAAUUUGAGUCAAGAUUCUGCUUAGUUUUAGUUGGCCAGGUAAUUUCUUCCUUUUGCCAUGUCCUGUUGAUGAGUGGCACUGCCAGAGGCCCAGACUGGCAGGAAAGAGGAUGUCAUUUUGUGAAGUUCUAUUUCUUCGUGAACUGAUCUAUCAGUCAUAGGAUGGAGAUGUGGGUUCAUCCAGAGGUGGCAAACCUCCUCUCGACCGUCUUCUGGUAUAUGAGAGAAUAAUCUUGGCCAGUCUGGGAAAAUCAUGAAGGCAUCCUGCUUACAGAGGGUUGAAACCCAAACCUGUUACCCUUGUAUAAGAGCUGGACCGGGAGCCUACCUACCAUCAGCUCUGAGCCGUGACUUCUUUUGUUCACUUACAGAAUCCUGUGUCAGGUUAGAAGCUAUAGUUAGCUAGUAAUUUUGACGUAAUUUGAGUAGAAUGAAGGAAAAAUAUUUAGGGUACUUCUAACCACUAUUUUUGUGCAAAUAGUCUAAAAGUGAAGUAAAAACAGUAGAAGUUUUCUACAGUAUCUGGGUUUAGAGUGUAUAUGAUUAACAUACCUUUGUCCUUUUCAGGGAAAGCAAAACAACCACCUCUGCUAAUCGUUGGGAAAAGAAAAUUGGGUUGUUUUGCCAUAUCAUUUACCUGGAAAGGAUGCUUAAAAGCAUCCUACAUCACUAUUAUUAGUACCAGUGUAUUUAGCUGUUCUCCCUUUAUAGUCAGUAUCUCUGUAUGACACUGAGGCCCUCCCCACAGAUAACUGGUUCAGAAAUACAGGUAUUUCUCUAGAGAAGGACCUGGUUUAUCUUCUCCAGUUUCUUUCGUAGAAUGUCUAAAGAAAAUGCUACUUGCACAUGUUGGUUUUUGAAAUCCUCCUUAACCAGAAGAGUGUCGGGUCAUACUAACACAUAGGUAGGAUGUAGCUGUUCAAACGUCUUCUGGGGGAGCUUAAACUUGUGGGAAAACACUGGUUUUCACAGAUGCUCCACGUGGCUGUCUUUAAAAGACUCGAAACAUUUUUUUGUCCUUUGUUAUGCUUGGAAACUCCCAUAGUGUGUAGAGUCUUUGCAAAGAAAUCUUUAGAUGUGGUUCAUAGGUAUAUGAAUAAGUAUCUGUGUAAAACAGUGAGUGUGCAGUGUGUAAAUACUUUAAAUUAUGGUAGAAAAAUAAAGUUACAUACCAUCCUGUG